GGGGAUAUAGUAUAAUUGGUAUUACAGCAAUUUUGCAUAUUGUUUAUUUAGGUUCAAGUCCUAAUAUCUCCA
rnacentral:tRNA from 1 species